UAACAGUUAGAAAUGACUGCUAAUACCGCAUAAGCGCACAGUACCGCAUGGUAGUGUGUGAAAAACUCCGGUGGUAUAAGAUGGACCCGCGUCUGAUUAGCCAGUUGGCGGGGUAACGGCCCACCAAAGCGACGAUCAGUAGCCGACCUGAGAGGGUGACCGGCCACAUUGGGACUGAGACACGGCCCAAACUCCUACGGGAGGCAGCAGUGGGGAAUAUUGGACAAUGGGGGGAACCCUGAUCCAGCGACGCCGCGUGAGUGAAGAAGUAUUUCGGUAUGUAAAGCUCUAUCAGCAGGGAAGAAAGAAAUGACGGUACCUGACUAAGAAGCCCCGGCUAACUACGUGCCAGCAGCCGCGGUAAUACGUAGGGGGCAAGCGUUAUCCGGAUUUACUGGGUGUAAAGGGAGCGUAGACGGCGAUGCAAGUCUGAAGUGAAAGGCGGGGGCCCAACCCCCGGACUGCUUUGGAAACUGUAUGGCUGGAGUGCAGGAGAGGUAAGUGGAAUUUCUAGUGUAGCGGUGAAAUGCGUAGAUAUUANGAGGAACACCAGUGGCGAANGCGGCUUACUGGACUGUAACUGACGUUGAGGCUCGAAAGCGUGGGAGCAAACAGGAUUAGAUACCCUGGNAGUCCACGNCGUAAACGAUGAUCACUAAGUGU
rnacentral:rRNA from 1 species